rnacentral:rRNA from 1 species
CAGUCGCCACGGUAAUACGUAGGUGGCAAGCGUUGUCCGGACUUAUUGGGCGUAAAGCGAGCGCAGGCGGUCAAUUAAGUCUGAUGUGAAAGCCCCCGGCUCAACCGGGGAGGGUCAUUGGAAACUGGUUGACUUGAGUGCAGAAGAGGAGAGUGGAAUUCCAUGUGUAGCGGUGAAAUGCGUAGAUAUAUGGAGGAACACCAGUGGCGAAGGCGACUCUCUGGUCUGUAACUGACGCUGAGGCUCGAAAGCGUGGGGGGCAAACAGGAUUAGAUACCCGCGUAGUCCCUGUCUCUUAUAC